AAAGGAGAGAGAUGUGCUUGACAAGCUCCAACCUUGCAUAAAUUUGGAGAAACUGACUAUCAGAUUCUAUGGAGGAACCAGCUUCCCAAACUGGUUAGGAAGCUCUAAUUCGUUCUCUAAUAUACAGUUCAUGUGUAUCAGUGAUUGUAGGUUUUGUCUGUCCUUGCCAAGUUUUGGGCAGCUACCCACUCUUAAAGAGCUAUGUAUCAUAAGGAUGGAAUUUGUUAGGACGAUUGGUAAUGAGUUCUAUGGUGAUCUUAAUGGAGCUUCUGUAAUUCAGCCCUUUCAGUCUCUGAAGACUCUAAAGUUUGAGGAGAUGCCAGAGUGGGAGGAUUGGCUACCGAGUCCAAGUGGAGGUCAAUGUUCAGACUUUCCGUGUCUCCAGGAGAUGAGAAUAAGGAAUUGUCCGAAGCUGAAAGGAUACUUGCCUAAUCGUCUUCCUUGCUUGAAAACACUUAGGGUGUCUGGGUGUGAAUUUCUACAGCUGCAUGAUGAAUGGGCCACUACUAGCAGCAGCAGUCUUAACAUGGACUACUUACAGAAUUCGUUAGAAAUACAUAUUAAUGGAUGCCCCGGUCUGUUACUGUUAAUAGAGAGAGUAGAGAAGAAGUUCUUGUCCACACUUGGCAUUUUUAAUUGUUGCAAUACAGUGCUUGCCCAAAAUGCAAUAUCUUGAACGCUUGACUCUCAGCAAUUGCCCAAAUGUGUCGUCAUUAGAGUUCCUAUCACGAGAUGAUGGCCAAAUUGACAUCACUUGAGUAUUUGGAUAUAGAAAAGAGUUUUCAUUCAGCGAGGUCGUUCCCGUUGGGCGUUUUCCCCAAACUUUCAACUCUUGUAAUCAAUGGUUGUGAGAAUCUGGAAUCCUUUUCUAUUGAAGGAGUUGAUCAAAACCUAAGCCAUCUUAACCACUGCGAAUCUACGACUGUCCAAAUCUGGCGUCUUUUCCCGAUGGAGGAUUGCCCACUCCCAACUUGAGACACUUGCAAGUCAAUGGAUGCAAGAAUUUGAAGUCAUUCCCCGAAGGAAUUCACACCCUCACCGCCCUUGGAACGUUGGGCUUAUACAAUCUUCCAAAUCUUGUGUCAUUUGCCCAAGGAGGUUUGCCUCCCAAGCUGCAAUAUUUGUAUGUUAGGAAUUGCGACAGAGCGAGGCCUUCAGUGGAGUGGGGAUUGCAAGGACUUGUCUCGCUUAGAGAAGUUAGCAUUGGUGGUGAGAUCUGGGCAAUGUUGCUCAAGGAACAGCUGCUCCCUACUACUCUUAACUCUGUCCGCAUCGCUGGACUAUCAAGUCUGAAAUCGUUGGAAGGAAAAGGACUUCGGCACCUCACUUCUCUUCAAAAGCUAUCUAUUUAUGGGUGCCCAAGUCUGGAAUUCCUUCCAGCAGAGGGACUUCAACACCUCACUUCUCUUCAACAGGUAUCCAUUUCACGGUGUCCAAAUCUUCAGUUCCUGCCAGAAGACAGCUUGCCACCAUCUCUUUCUUUCCUGGAGAUCUACUCUUGUUCCACCCUGGAGAAAAGGUAUGCGAAUAGGACCGGAGAACAUUGGGCCAAGAUAUCUGACAUUCCUUGCAUACAGAUAAAUGAAGAAGUCAUCAUAUGAGCUCUCUCAUACAAAGUUGUGCUUUUCGGCAUUUGACUCUCAGGUAUUUUGCAUCUAAUUAACUUCAAUAGUUUUAAAAAUAAAAGACAUAAUAGAAAUAAGAAUCAUAGCAUAUUGAUCAAAUGUUUCGUUGCAGCAUGGAAGACACAUUAUCCCUACAUCUUCAACAUUUUCAAAUGGUAUGGAGAGGAUCAAUCCAGCAUAGUAAGCAUCAAAAGUGCAACAUUUAUAGGUACUCUUUCAUAACCGAAUAAUGUAUUAACGUUUCAGAAAUAACAAAUUUUGCAAUUUGGUUCUCAUCUCUCCCAUUUUCUUUGUUAAAUCUUGUUUGCUCUGAAUUAUUCUCUAGCCUUAUCCCUGGCAUCACUUAGGUAGCGUUUGGUACGCAGACGGGACGGGACGGAAAGAGACGGAACGGGACGGAACGGAUGUUCCGUUCUGCGUUUGGUACGCGCAGGACAGAACAAGACGGUUGUUCCGUUCUGCGUUUGGUAGCGCAUGGACGGAACGGAACCAAAAGAUUAAAAUGACUAAAAUACCCAUAUAAAUUAUAAUCGAAAGCAAAACCGCAGUUCUUCUAACUUUAUUCUUUGGCCUAAACAGAAUUUGUGGGCAACAACCCCACAAAACCCUUCCUUUAUUUUGUUAAAAUGAACAAACUUUGAAUCAAAUGGCAUUGAAAAUCCCAAUAUAUGAAAACCAAAACAACGGCAAGCAACUUCACUGAGGUGUUGUAUGAAACUUAAGACCAGAAUCAAUCAAGAACUCCAAAAAAACAACAAAACCCAGGAUUUUAAUGUGGAAAAUUUACUCUACAAUCGAAACAAUCCAAGCAUGCAGUGAUAGAAAUCAACCCAACUCAAAAUUUCCAUUUCUCACCAAGAAAAAAAGCCAAUGAAAUACAGUGGAUUUAGAAAGGCGAAGUCUUUACCUCGGAAGAAACAGUAACGGAAAGCUGAAAAUCAGCAGAAAGGUGAAGCUCAGCGGAGAAGUGCCUUCAAUUGCAGAGAAAUGGGUUUUUCUCUGCAAGAAUUUGCCUUCAAUUGCUCUCUCUCUCUCUCUUCAAAGGUGCGGACGUUUCUCCAUUGAUUAUCGCAUCAGCGGAGAUUGCCAACGAGGAACCCAGUGCAAGAAAGUCAGCGGCUGAGAAGAAGACGAGGAGGAAGGUUGCGAAGGGGAGAGAUGGGGUGAAGAGGAUCAGCGGCUGAGAAGAAGAGAAAUAGUUUUUGGGGUUUGUUAUAUGAUUUUGAUGCAGUAAAUUUUGAAAAAGAUAAGGGGUAUUUUGGUCCUAAAAUGUUAAAAUUUUCUGUCCCAC
rnacentral:lncRNA from 1 species